GGCCAUAACUUGGUGGUAGAGCACCUGCUUUGCAUGCAGAAGGUCUCAGGUUCAAAACCUGGCAUCUCCA